rnacentral:rRNA from 1 species
GAUGAACGCUGGCGGCGUGCCUAAUACAUGCAAGUCGAGCGAACGGACGAGAAGCUUGCUUCUCUGAUGUUAGCGGCGGACGGGUGAGUAACACGUGGAUAACCUACCUAUAAGACUGGGAUAACUUCGGGAAACCGGAGCUAAUACCGGAUGAUAUUUUGAACCGCAUGGUUCAAAAGUGAAAGACGGUCUUGCUGUCACUUAUCGAUGGAUCCGCGCUGCAUUAGCUAGUUGGUAAGGUAACGGCUUACCAAGGCAACGAUGCAUAGCCGACCUGAGAGGGUGAUCGGCCACACUGGAACUGAGACACGGUCCAGACGCCUACGGGAGGCAGCAGUAGGGAAUCUUCCGCAAUGGGCGAAAGCCUGACGGAGCAACGCCGCGUGAGUGAUGAAGGUCUUCGGAUCGUAAAACUCUGUUAUUAGGGAAGAACAUAUGUGUAAGUAACUGUGCACAUCUUGACGGUACCUAAUCAGAAAGCCACGGCUAACUACGUG